CUUUUUAUGAAGCUUUGUCGCUCUCUAGAUUGGAUGACAAGACAUUGACACCAUGAUGGUGCAUGCACUAAAUUAAUAAAUCAAAAUGAGCAGCAUGGCCCUAACCUAACCGCCUCCUUUUUAAACUUUCUUCUUCUCCCUUUUCUCGAUUCUCAUCAGCCAUAUCGAUUUUAUAUUGAAAGAUGGGUAGGAGGGAGCUCUUGAAUGCGCUACUAACUUUGCUGCUUCUUCUGUCCAUGGUGUUUCACAGGGGAGCGGCUAUGAUCAGACGCAUUGGCAAGUAUCAACAACCGGGAAGCACUAGCCUAAAAGCGUCGCGAAAGGGUUUGGAUCUGAAAGACGAAUACACGAAAGAAGCCGGUGACAAUAAUGGCAGCGGAGAUUAUGAUUUUUAUGGAGGGCACGGUGAUGUCCCGAGCCCCGGCGUUGGUCACUAGAUCGAUCAUGAAGUGAGUCUGCUAGCGCUGUGCGUUUUUUGUUUUUGAUGCGUUUCACUUUAUAUAUGUACCACCUUCUUGUUGAUACAUAAUGAUAUCACGUAUACUUUUCCCCAUGUAUACUAUAAUACAUAGCUCGCUAGGAUUUCUUCUUUAUAUGUUUUCAAAUUAUCUGGGAGUUUUUGGUAAUUGUGUUGUAUAUGUAAGAUAUAUACAUUAUUUUGUUAAUAAGAGAGUGAAUAAAAAUGUGUGGAUUUGAGUUUGAAAAAGCAUGUAGUUUUCUAACCAAUCGAUGGCUGAAUUGGGUCAGGGUGGCCUUGGAGUUUCUACCCAAUCUUUGGUAUUUGCCUAUACGUCAGAAUCAGCAGCAGAAAUUUUACGACCAAGGAAAAGAAAGUUGUUGUAUCCCACAUCGACAGGUGGAGAAAAGAAAGACUUGGAGAGCUGAUAUGAAAGAGAUUGCCAGACAUUGAUGAACUCAUACCUUUCUCGGCCUUUUGGCUAAGAUCAAGUGUAGUGUCUGUUCGUAUCUGUUUAAUAUCUGAUAUGUGGGCCAAUGGCCCACCUCCUUUAUUAAAUUAUUUUCUUUAGGGGGAGAGCCCACCACAGUAGCUUGAUGCUGGGGUUCUCGCACGCUGCCCAAGUGAUGCACUACUGCAUGGGCCUGGCGUACCCCAUUAAAUCUAGUCUGAAAAUUUGAUGGCUGAACCCCAAUGGGCUUUUGCAUUGUGGCUAAACCAACGCAACUAUUUCCUGUGCAGAACGAAAAAGUUGAACGCGCACAACACUCAAUCAAAACUGGAAUACACUAACAGGUUCUUAGUGUCCGU
rnacentral:lncRNA from 1 species